rnacentral:lncRNA from 1 species
GCGUGUUAGCACAUGUUAGCGAUAUGCAAAGAGUUGCAAUGCUUUUUACCUGUCAGUGCAUGGACUCACCUUGAAGACGCCAGCAGUCAGUCGCAGUCUGAGCGGAGGAAGCUAACGUUGACACAGCUCUGGACCUCGGGUCAAGAAGAGAUGUCGGCCAACUCCUCCUCCAACUCGUCCUUCAGUUUCUUUCUCAAAACGUGCUUUGAUUCCAGAACCACCAACUUCAUUUAUUUGUCUUUUUCCAUGGCCAACAUCGCCCUCCUCCUCCCCCUCUUCGUUUACACCCUCGUGCUGGGCCUCCGGCAGAGACGACGUCCGUCCAGUUCAGACUUCUUCACCUACAACGUGCUUGUUCUGGAGCUGCUGGCCAUGUUGGGCUCCUGCCUUUACUGCUUCGGUGCCUACGCUCCGGACCCGGUGCUGGCGCUGGUGGGGUCGUCCAUCUGCUCCAUCACCUCCCCCGCACAGACCCUGUUCCACGUCCUGACCAGCGUGGAGCGCUACCUGGCCGUGGUCCGGCCCGUCACCUACCUGGGCCUGAGACGGGCCGGGGCCCUGAGGGUCCGGAACGCCAGCGCCGGCUGCGUGUGGCUGCUGUGUUGUGCACUAAUGGCCUGCUCCAUGUACUGGAGCUACGCAUUUGCUGCGGUGGCGCUUCUGCUCCUGGUUUCCUCCCUGGCGGUCGUCGCUCUGUCGGGGUUUUCCAUCCUGUGCGUCCUGAAUGACGGGGGUCCGGGGCAGGUUGGCGGCGCGCGGCGGCGGGCGUGUCACGCUGUCAUGGCCGUCAUGGCGGCUCUGACGCUGAGGUUGGCCGGGGUCCUGGUCUGCACUGUGGCGUUCUCGUCUCCACAGCUGACGCACGCCGUGUGCGCCCUGGGCGGCGCCGCCGUGUGGCUCACGCUGCCCUGCAGCCUGGUGCUGCCGCUGCUGCUCCUGCAGAGAGCUGGAAAACUGCCCGGCUGCAGACGCAGCACCAGCUCAGGCUGAGGCAUCAGAGCCAGAUCAUAUCCAGUCAGGUUCCAGCAUUUUACCCAGAAAGAAUCAUCUGCUGUGGCCUUUAGGGGACAGGGUUUCAUCUUUUAGCUCCGUGUGUAAAACACAACUUCAGAUAUUUAAGUCAAGUUACAUUUUACUGUUAGUCAUAUAUGUUUCACAAAU